ACAGGUUGCAGUCAAGAAGCCAGCUAAAACCCACCAAAACCAAGAUGACCACAAGAGUGACCUCUGGUCAUCCUCACUGCUACACUCCCACCAGCACCAUGAGAGUUUACAAAUGUCAUGGUAACGUCAGGAAGUUACCCUAUAUGGUCUAAAAAGGGGAGGCAUGAAUAAUACACUCUUGUUUAGCAUAUCAUCAAAAAGUAACCAUAAAAACGGGCCAUCAGCAGCCCUCAGGCCUGCUCUGUCUACGGAGUAGCCAUGCUUUUAUUCCUUUACUUUCCUAACAACAUUUAUUUCCCUUUAUGUACUCGCCCUGAUUCUUUCUUGUGCGAGAUCUAAGAACCCUCUCUUGGGGUCUUGAUCGGGACCCCUUUCUUGUAACACAACUCCUUUUUUUGGAGUUUUACUUGCUUCCAACAAGGAAGGCAAGUUUUCCUGCUUCCAUGACGGUGGAAGGCAGAUAACUCCUUUCCGGAGUUCGAGCCUGCUUUCAACAGGGAAGGCAAAUUUGAGUUUUCCCCUGCUUCUAGAAUGGAAGAUGGCAGUCUUCAGCCUGAGACCCAUUCCUAGUAGCAUUGGGCACAUUCACAUUCUUCUGCAACCAUCGCCAGCAUCCGUCGGCAGAACCUUCUCAUCUUC
rnacentral:lncRNA from 10 species